GGAUAAACCAACAUAUGGCUUAUAAAUGCAGAGAGAGUGAAUUUUUAAGAUUUCUAAUGUCUUACUAUUUGUACACAAUUCUCUGUUGCUCCCCACUUGUACUUUGUCUCUGGACUGUUCUAUGUUAUACAAAUCUAUGUUCUAUUUGAGUAGAAAAGUUUUGCUGAAUGAUAGAAUAUAUUACAUCUUUAUUUUCUUACCUAUAAAUUGUGAAUACAAGGUGAUUUCAUCCAUUUCCAGCAUGAGUGUUUUUCUUUCUGUGCUUAGGUCUAAUGCCCCCAAAUAUUCUGCCUGAAUGUUACCUUACCUAUUACCUUACCUUAGCCUUUUCGGUUAUUACCUGCUAAUUUAGAAUUGUGUCUGUACCAUAGACUAGCAAAAUUAGUUAAGGUUUUCGCUUUCCUUCCUUGUUGCAGCAGCUGUGAAAUCUCUUCUUCCCACUUUUGCCUGUUCCUUAGACUCGGAUUCUAGUCCACGUUAAUUUCAGUGGUCCAGCACUGGUCUUGUGGGUUCGGAGGAGGCGGCUCCGGAACCUCCAUAGACUCAAGGGAGCUCCGUGCUGUUGAAGAGUUGGAGAUGGUGGAAAUCUAGGAUAGGUGUUGUGAAGAACAAGAGCCAAGUUUGAUGAGGCCAUCAGGGACCAGCAACAGAAACAUGAGGUCAGUCCAGCCUGGGGCAGUUUCUUUCCAAGAGAAGAUGGAGGAAGGACAGCUAAGUGACUGGAAAUUUGACUUGCCUUCAUGUCAAGAGAUACCUACACCUUUUGGAAACAACAAACCCUUUGUGGUACCUCAGUGGGAUCAUCAGUGGGGCAUGGCCCUCUCCUGGAUGAC
ensembl:lncRNA